AGCGGAGGAAAAGAAACUAACAAGGAUUCCCCUAGUAACUGCGAGUGAAGCGGGAAAAGCUCAAAUUUAAAAUCCUUCGGGAGUUGUAAUCUAUAGAAGUGUUUUCGGUCGUUGCCUCGGACAAGUCUCUUGGAACAGAGCGUCAUAGAGGGUGAGAAUCCCGUCCUUGCCGAGCUCCCAACGUCUAUGUGAUACACUUUCAAAGAGUCGAGUUGUUUGGGAAUGCAGCUCAAAAUGGGUGGUAAACUCCAUCUAAAGCUAAAUAUUGGCGAGAGACCGAUAGCGAACAAGUACCGUGAGGGAAAGAUGAAAAGCACUUUGGAAAGAGAGUUAAACAGUACGUGAAAUUGUUGAAAGGGAAGCGCUUGAAGUCAGUCGCGUUGCAAGGACUCAGCCUCACGGUGUAUUUCUUUGCAACGGGUCAACAUCAGUUUUGACCGCGGGAAAAGGGCUUGAGGAAUGUGGCAACCUCGGUUGUGUUAUAGCCUCUUGUCGUACACCGCGGUCGGGACUGAGGUCUGCUUACAGGAUGUUGACGAAAUGGCUUUAAGCGACCCGUCUUGA
rnacentral:rRNA from 1 species